UACGUAGGGGGCGAGCGUUGUCCGGAAUUAUUGGGCGUAAAGAGCGUGUAGGCGGUUCGGUAAGUCUGCCGUGAAAACCUGGGGCUCAACCCUGGGCGUGCGGUGGAUACUGCCGGGCUAGAGGAUGGUAGAGGCGAGUGGAAUUCCCGGUGUAGCGGUGAAAUGCGCAGAUAUCAGGAGGAGCACCGGUGGCGAAGGCGGAUCUCUGGGCCUUACCUGACGCUGAGGCGCGAAAGCUAGGGGAGCGAACAGG
rnacentral:rRNA from 1 species